ensembl:snRNA U6 U6 spliceosomal RNA
GUGCUAGCCUCAGCAGCACACACUAAAAUUGGAGUAAGAAUACAGAGAAGAUUAACAUGGCCCCUGCACAAGGAUGACACAAAUUCCUAAAAUGUUCUAUAUUUUU